UCACCGGGUCUCCUGUUCAAAUGUUCCAAUGUUAUUUUUGUUUUCUGAAAAUGCAGAAAAAGACAAAUAACUGUAGUUUAUAGAAUCCCCCUUGUUUCCGAUCGCAUUUCGAGUCGUUUUUGGGUUAUUUUAAGCGUUGAUAUGUUGACAUCAAGACAACCGUGCGGGAGAUCGGUUUAAUAAUUAAUAGUCGAUGUUAUGAAUUUUACAGUGAUGGAUCGAUUGGCAUUAGGAACAAGUAGAAGCAUCUCACCCCCCUGGAUGGAAGAUUCAGUCUCCCGCUUCGGUUCCAGCACCGAAUGACUGAGGUCUGAGGACGGAUAUUUUUUGCAGUGUUGCCAUCGACGACUGGGGGAGCUGGGGGGGCUCUGACAGGCACAAUUUACAUUGAGCUCGCCCCGCGCUGCUAUUUACUUUGAAACCUGAUUAGUAUGGGCCGUCUAUUGUCACCAAAAAAGAGGAAGAAACCCUGGACAGAAUAGCAAAAAAGCGGGGUAAAGGAAAGAGCGGACAAAGAUUUUACGCACGACAAAUAAACCAAAAAAAAAAAAAAAAAAAAAAAAAAUGUGCACAGCGGCAAAAGGGGGAUUCUGCUUCAGAAAUUCCCCGAAGUUUCAAAAUGGUUUGUCUCGGACUGUUAUCUUCAUUAUAGAAUUAACGGAUGUCAUUAAUGUUUUGCCAUGGAUUGAUAUUUUCACAGGCUGUUUUGUCCUUGGCAUGCGCAUUGCGGUACAUCGUUGCCUGUAAUCGGCACAGUCUCGCUGAUUAAAACUUAACGUUUAGUUUAAACCAGUUAAUAAGAGAAAGAAAAUGUCAGUGGGAAGAAUGAUGCAUAAAAGACAGUGUUAUACAAACGGGAUGCCUUGCCAGCGGCCGAAAAUCUCUAAAAUUAGACCGAGGAAUGAGCAAUAUUCAAUAAUUACCAAGGUCCUAUAGUCUCUACAAUCACUGAGCCGGUGUCAUAUUAUGUCUUAAUAAUGACAGUAAUUCAAAAUGUGAAGUUACUGACAAUUUGCAUGGGGAUUCCGGCUUUUUUUUUGUACCAGGGUUUCUGCAGGCUUACUGCCUCUCCAACUCAAAAAUGUCUGGAUCGCGCUGCCAUCUAGCGUACAUUGUACAAUUACAGCCUCAUAUAAAUGCAUCCAUAACUCAUCAGACAUGCAUUUUAAAUCGCAAAAGCUGAUUUUAAAAACAUAAAAGUCCGAACUUUGCCGCUGGUGUCUUUUAUCCUUUGUCUGUUUUUAUUGACGAGGUUAUGAAAUGUACAACUGUUUUGUUGUUAGGGACGUAUAACUCAAACAAACAAAAAAACAAAACAAAACAAAAAACCACAACAAAAACCCCCACCAAACUUUCAGCGAACAUAAAAAAAUACGUGUUAUUACAUCUGAAUAAAUAUAGCGACAAUAAUACACUACAGUCUUGAUCGCACGGAAUAUAGAUUGAACACAAACCCCCAAACCGUGUGCGUACAUGUCCAAAAACAUGGUAAUACCGUGCUGAGACUCAGUAACUAUGCAUAAUACUUAUAAUUGUUGUUUAAUGAAUUAAAGACGUUGUAAACAGAGCUUUAACCUCGCCGAGAUAAUAGCAGAUAUAAAGGAGCGUUAAUAUGCAAGUGCCCCCUUUGUAAACGCAUAGGAGGGAUGGGUUGUUUUUUAAGUAUUCAACAAGAGAGCUCUCUCUCCCGUCCCUGUCUCGGACACUCCACUGAAACUCCCCGUCCAUAUCUCUAGCUCUUUGAAAAGAUUGGAAAGGGUCUCCGAGGGAGAAGAGGAGAGGAGAGUGAGAGUGAGAGGGACAGCGAAUGGGAGCAGGGUAGACGCUCUAAUAGAAUCUGGGAAUCGGCAAGAGUAAAAAGGAGAAAGUGGACGGCAGGACAUUAAAAGAAGAAGCGCCAGCGACGGUGGUUAACGGUAGCGGAGCUGCUUUCUACGUGGGCAAACCGGGCACCGAUAAGGCAAGUGCACUAUUUAUUACUCACUUCUUCUGCCCUGCACACGCGUGCUUCAGAAAGCAAGGACAAAAUUCUCUUGAGUCCCGCCACAUGAGCGUUUACUUUAAAGCGUGCAGAAGUCCGGGUCGUGUCAAAGUCACAACUUUUUAACUAGUGCACAGUCUCAUUUCUCCCUCCACGAAAAGGGCGACGGUAGACACUCGUUUCACGUUUUCCCCGCUGAUUUGUAUAUCUGAUGGUAGUGAUGUUAGUGCAGGCUGGUUGGAGUACAACUGGACACGGGAGCCCCCUUUUUUGACGUCCAGUGCACUUCACCUGCAAAGCUGUUUGUUGGUUGAACACAUAAUGAAAAGAUCGAUAACCGUCUGCUUGUCUCAGCGAUAGUGUCACCGGAUUAAAAGACUGAUCAAGGAGACCAGGCGUUGCCCAUCUUCUACACUCUUUCCCAAGUGCCAAUUUAGCCAGGAUAUUACUAGAUGCAUACAUUAUAGAUUCAAAAAAUAAAUAAAUGAAUCAAUAAAAUCAAAUAAAAAUCAGUGCACCGCUAAGAAGUCAUUAUGCGUCAGAAAAUGUUGCUGAGAGGAAAUUUAAAGCGACAUGGAGUAUGCGUGUGUGUAUGUGUGUUUUUUUUUCCCAUCAAAGCAGCAUUAUUGAUGUGGAGGGAGUGCAGUGAAAAGUAAUAUAAAAUAAACGAUGUGCAACGUGGGCCAGGUUAAUAUAUUCCAGGACAAAGCGCGUGCCAGACGGCUUUCUAAAAUAACCUUACAUAAUAACAUUUAACCUAAUCCUCCCAUGCUGAAAUAAAGUUCAUGCUAAUUAAUACUAAGUGAGCCAAGCAAUAUUUUUUCAUGUCCUAUACUUAAGGUUUCCACUUUUUAAACGCGUAGAAAAAUACGGACGUCUCCAUAAAAUAUGAACUUAUUGGAAAAAACAUCUAAAGAAUGACAUAAUCACAUUAACAAAGCGAGUCAUUCAGGUGAUUGAUGCAUUUGCGCAUUAUAUAGCAGCAGUCCUACUUUGACUGCAAUGCAACGGUUUGCUUUGCAACAGAUUAUUUGCGGUCUCGAAAUAGACAAGGCUGACAUUUUCCAUUGCAAUCAAACUUGAAUAAACCACAAAUAGAAUUUCUAUGGCUGCUUAAAUUUCCCUCGCAUGGUAGUUUUGUCAAAGGACCUUAUUAGAUAAACAUUUGUAAGAAUGGGAAGCACAUUGCAGUUUUGCCAAAUCUGUGAUCAAUAAUGCCCUCUGUACACAGAUUCAGACUUUGUAAAGCUCACAAAAUGCAACUUUAACGCAGCUGAAACCAACAAGCAGCACAAUCAGUUGGGAAAACACUGAGGUCAUAAGUGCAAGGCUCCCUAAUAAAACACCAGAUGACAACAGGAAUGCAUUUCAGAGCAUUUAAAACGAUGCAAAGUGAUGUAGGAAAAAAACAUUAGUAAAAAAAAAGCGUCGAAGGUCUGUUUAUUAUUGAUUGUGUGUAUGUAAUCACUUCAGAGUUUGUAACCGCAGUAUAUUCAAUAA